rnacentral:rRNA from 1 species
GACGAACUGUCCUAACGUUGUUCGGAAUCACUGGGCUUAAAGGGCGCGUAGGCGGUCCAUCAAGUCAGGGGUGAAAUCCUGCAGCUCAACUGCAGAAGUGCCUCUGAUACUGAUGGUCUUGAGGGAGAUAGGGGUGUGCGGAACUUCCAGUGGAGCGGUGAAAUGCGUUGAUAUUAGAAGGAACGCCGGAGGCGAAAGCGGCGCACUGGAUCUCUUCUGACGCUGAGGCGCGAAAGCUAGGGGAGCAAACGGG